AGUGAACGCUGGCGGUAGGCCUAACACAUGCAAGUCGAACGGCAGCACAGUAAGAGCUUGCUCUUACGGGUGGCGAGUGGCGGACGGGUGAGGAAUACAUCGGAAUCUACUUUUUCGUGGGGGAUAACGUGGGGAAACUUACGCUAAUACCGCAUACGACCUACGGGUGAAAGCAGGGGAUCUUCGGACCUUGCGCGAUUGAAUGAGCCGAUGUCGGAUUAGCUAGUUGGCGGGGUAAAGGCCCACCAAGGCGACGAUCCGUAGCUGGUCUGAGAGGAUGAUCAGCCACACUGGAACUGAGACACGGUCCAGACUCCUACGGGAGGCAGCAGUGGGGAAUAUUGGACAAUGGGCGCAAGCCUGACCCAGCCAUACCGCGUGGGUGAAGAAGGCCUUCGGGUUGUAAAGCCCUUUUGUUGGGAAAGAAAAGCAGCAGGUUAAUACCCCGCUGUUCUGACGGUACCCAAAGAAUAAGCACCGGCUAACUUCGUG
rnacentral:rRNA from 1 species